AUUGAACGCUGGCGGCAGGCCUAACACAUGCAAGUCGAGCGGUAACAGAGAGUAGCUUGCUACUUUGCUGACGAGCGGCGGACGGGUGAGUAAUGCUUGGGAACAUGCCUUGAGGUGGGGGACAACAGUUGGAAACGACUGCUAAUACCGCAUAAUGUCUACGGACCAAAGGGGGCUUCGGCUCUCGCCUUUAGAUUGGCCCAAGUGGGAUUAGCUAGUUGGUGAGGUAAUGGCUCACCAAGGCGACGAUCCCUAGCUGGUUUGAGAGGAUGAUCAGCCACACUGGGACUGAGACACGGCCCAGACUCCUACGGGAGGCAGCAGUGGGGAAUAUUGCACAAUGGGCGCAAGCCUGAUGCAGCCAUGCCGCGUGUGUGAAGAAGGCCUUCGGGUUGUAAAGCACUUUCAGUCAGGAGGAAAGGUUAGUAGUUAAUACCUGCUAGSUGUGACGUUAC
rnacentral:rRNA from 1 species